GACAGAGGGUGCAAACGUUGUUCGGAAUUACUGGGCGUAAAGCGCGUGUAGGCGGCCCUGCAAGUCGGAUGUGAAAUCCCACGGCUCAACCGUGGAAGUGCAUUCGAAACUGCAGGGCUAGAGUCCUGGAGAGGAAGGUGGAAUGCUUGGUGUAGAGGUGAAAUUCGUAGAUAUCGGGAGGAACACCAGUGGCGAAGGCGGCGAUCUGGGAAGAUACUGACGCUGAGGUGCGAAAGCGUGGGGAGCAAACAGG
rnacentral:rRNA from 1 species